AUAAAAUGGACAAAACUUUAAGAGUUAUUAGUAUUCAUGUAACAGCGUAAUAAACAGCACAUUUACGGUAUGAAUAAAUAUUUCUAAACAAAGUUACCAUCUUUAUUGUUCGUUGGCAUUAGGGAUGUAACAAUAAAGUGUUGAAAAAUAUGAAGGACUUUAACCGCAUGUGGCGCUCUCGUUUUCACUCAACACUCUCACAAUCGCACCCGGAAACAAACCCCCACCUGUGGAAUCAAACCCCGCCUACUUCUCUGCGCGCGAAAUUCAUUUGUGCAAAAGACGGGUUAGUGUGAGGAGCUCCUCAAAACUCCGGAGCUUUAAGGAAGAACGUACAGAAAGCAAAAAGAACUUACAGCGGGAGCAUGUAAGACCCUCACCAUCUUUUUCGAUGAUGUUGUCCGUGAGAAAGCCUUCGUCUUUGCCGGGAAAAAAACCUCUUCCUCGGGACUCUCUGGCGUAAGAAAAGCCUCCUUUCCACCCGGAGCAAAAAGGGAACAUUUGCCGGCUGCGGGACUCGUGGGACUGGAACCCUGAGAGCUGAAACAAGCAAAUAUCUCCUGUCUGAUAUUUGAAAACAUAUCCAAAAGAUCCAACCAUUCCGUAAGCAUCCAAGCACCAUUUCUCACGCAAAGACUCGGUUGGAGGAAUUUGAGUGCGUUUCAAAAAAAACUCUACUUUUGCGAGGAGCGGCCAGGGGUCGCGGGGGGCGCUGGAGCCUAUCUCAGCUACAAUCGGGCGGAAGGCGGGGUACACCCUGGACAAGUCGCCACCUCAUCGCAGGGCCAACACAGAUAGACAGACAACAUUCACACUCACAUUCACACACUAGGGCCAAUUUAGUGUUGCCAAUCAACCUAUCCCCAGGUGCAUGUCUUUGGAGGUGGGAGGAAGCCGGAGUACCCGGAGGGAACCCACGCAGUCACGGGGAGAACAUGCAAACUCCACACAGAAAGAUCCCGAGCCCGGGAUUGAACCCAAGACUACUCAGGACCUUCGUAUUGUAUUAUAUUGUUUAUGUUAAAUAGGGAGUGAGUGAGAGGGGUUGGGAUAUUAUAAGCAAUUGCUUCAUCCAACCCCUUUUCAAGCCAUGCAUAAAUGUCUCUGCCAAAAUGUAAAAAAAAAAAAAUGUGUGUUGUUGUAUUGUGCAGGUUUGAAAUAAAUACUU